AUGCCCACUUUGGCAGCACAUAUACUAAAAUUGGGACGAUACAGAGAGAAUUAGCUUGGCCCCUGCUCAAGGGUGACAUGAAAAUUCAUGAAAUAUUCAGUAUUUUU